rnacentral:tRNA from 1 species
GAGGGUAUGGCUCAGUGGUAGAGUACAUGCUUAGCAUGCAUGAGGUCCUGGGUUCAAUCCCCAGUACCUCCA